rnacentral:rRNA from 1 species
AUGAACGCUGGCGGCGUGCCUAAUACAUGCAAGUCGAGCGAACAGACGAGGAGCUUGCUCCUCUGACGUUAGCGGCGGACGGGUGAGUAACACGUGGAUAACCUACCUAUAAGACUGGGAUAACUUCGGGAAACCGGAGCUAAUACCGGAUAAUAUAUUGAACCGCAUGGUUCAAUAGUGAAAGCCGGUUUUGCUGUCACUUAUAGAUGGAUCCGCGCCGCAUUAGCUAGUUGGUAAGGUAACGGCUUACCAAGGCAACGAUGCGUAGCCGACCUGAGAGGGUGAUCGGCCACACUGGAACUGAGACACGGUCCAGACGCCUACGGGAGGCAGCAGUAGGGAAUCUUCCGCAAUGGGCGAAAGCCUGACGGAGCAACGCCGCGUGAGUGAUGAAGGUCUUCGGAUCGUAAAACUCUGUUAUUAGGGAAGAACAAAUGUGUAAGUAACUAUGCACGUCUUGACGGUACCUAAUCAGAAAGCCACGGCUAACUACGUG